AGGGGGAGUGGGGAGGAGAAGAGGGGGUGGAGAUGAGGUCAGUGUCACAAAAAUAUCUCUCACACAUAAUAAUGAAUGUGCUGCGUAAAUAUAUUUCAUACAUUUAAUAUAUAUAUUUUUUUAUUUUCAGCUGUUGCAACCGCAUGCAUGAACGCUUGUUUUAUUCGGAAAUAUAGAAUAGGAAUGUGAUGUCGCAUAAUAGCUAUUAGAAAAUAUAAUAUAGAGAUGCCAUGAGGAAAACGAUGCAAGGGAAAAAAUGCAUACCGCCUUCGUAGGAAAUCAUACUGCGGCUGUCGUUUGAAACCUGAAGCAUGAUAUGUUUUUAUUUGUUAUUAAAUAACAGUGCUGCUUGUUAGGUAAAAUGUGCUUUAAGAAUGCAAUUUGAUUAGGUUUAAUCUGGCACGUUAAAUUCAAUUAGCAUGCAAUUGUGUUUAAUGAGGAAAUGGCUAUUUGUUUGCUAGUGGGAGAUCAUUGCAGCAGUCUGCUGUAUGUUAUAUAUAUAUAUAUAUAUAUAUAUAUAUAUAUAUAUAUAUAAAUUUUGUAGACGCUUUUAUCCAAAGCAACAUUCAAAUGAGGACAAUAAAAGCAAACAAAGCCAACAAAAGUGCAAUAAUAUGCAAGUGUAAUGCAGUAUAUGUAGCAAGGUUUUGUUUUAUAAUAAAUAAAAAGAAAACAAGCAGACAGGAUUAUGGUACAACUGAGAAUGCUAGUAAAUAUAUAAUGCCCAUAUAGCAAACAAACACACAGUAUAAGGGAUAUAUCAUGCCCUCUGCUGGCAAAUGUGUUCUACAUUCUCAACCGUAUUCUGAAAACUGUAAAAGUUAAAAAUAUGUAAAAAAAAAAAAAAAAAAAAAAGGUAAUACAUAAGAGUAUGUAGUAUUUAUAGCAAUGGUGUGCUGAAGUGGGUUGAUGUGUAGCUUUAUGGUUAAAACCAUGUCUUUGACACAUCAUCCAUUCUAAUAAAGGAAGUCAGAUUCAUAUCCAAAAACAUAAAAAAAGAAAUGUGCAGUUCUACUGAAAAUACAACCCCUCUGUCACCACGCUGCCUUUACACAAGCAUCUUGAGUAGUUUCAGCAUUGCAAUUAGUCUCCUGAGAGCUUUCUUUAAUUGGGGAGCAUCUUAUAAAUGCAAGUUUGGUUGAGCUAAGUCUUUUAAUCUUUUAGCCACACAGUCUGUUUAACAAUCAAACCAGUUAACCCAAACAUCAUCUGUGAGCUUGUCAUAGGAAAGGCCAGACGACAGAGUCUCCUCCGUGCAUCUCCGCGUCUCCAUAACAGUGCAGAAUGUAGGACAAGUGAAAAUACUUGUUUUUUUUGUAGCCUGCUGAUGGCGGUUUUGCUCAGUAACUCUUUGUCCAUGUCAGUAGCCGUUAGGGACAGAAUGUCUUCUAUCUCAACCCUAGAAAAAAAGGUCCCUGUAAAGAUCCUCUAAGAAUUUCUAUAUCCAAUACAACAAGCUGUGACUUUGCUAAAGAGAAAAAUCGUGCACAGAAAAAAAUAUAAUGCAAAAUAUAAUGUUCUUUAAAUAAAUCACGGUCAUGGUGGUCACGGCUUAACCGAAUCUUCCAAACCUGACGUAACUUGAGUAUAAGCUCCAGCUUCACAGCCUGAACAAGAACAAUGACAUUAAUACUAAUCUAGGCAGAAUGGCAAGAAAACAGAAACAGAUGCUCCUUCAACAGCGAUGUGCCAAAACCACACAUUUACUCAAACUAUUAGUUGUACUGGUACGCUUUGCCCAGCUAAAAUUAGCCACUUUAUAUUUAAAACAGAUUGUUUUACUGCUGGUAAAAAUCUGUGAAGUCGUUCGGGUGUGUUUGAAAAGGAAUAAUGCUGCAUAUUUUGCGGUACGAACUCCAUAAUGCCUACUGCGUAUAACGGCAUGCUGAGGGUCUCUGUCACACGAGCGUAUGAGUAAUGCGCAUGUUGCUUUUUUAUCUUUUGUAGGUUGAUCAAGCAAUGACGUAUCACCUAAAAAUGAAAAUGUGUUUCUUAAUGGAAACAGAUUGGGAGAAACCGAGCAUUUCCUGUGGAUCCUCUGCAGUGAAUGGGUGCCGUCAGAAUCAGUCAGAACAGCUGAUAAAAACAUCACAAUAAUUCAUAACACGUACCACUCUAGUCCGUCAAGUAUAAAAUGCUGUCGAUUUGUAAUAAACACAUCCAGCAAUGCUUUUUUUUAACUGUAGCAUCUAGCCAAAAUAUUUCAGUAAAUCGAUAAUCCAUAAUAAUGCUUCCUCCAGUGAAAUUGUGAAUCUCCAUGUUGUCUUCCCACAUCAAAACACAUAUCAGCAGAAUUAAAUGACAGUGUAGAAAGCCAUAUUAUGUAUAGCAGACUUGUAUUUUACCAACAGUUUAAAGUAAAAUAAAAAUCUAUUACAAUGUUAUUACAUUAUCAUUAUGGCAUUAUAACAAAAUUGCAGCUUUUUGAGUCGAUGGAAUCAUUUCUGAAAAUCUGUUCUAGUAAACAAACAGAUCCACGUCUCGGAUUGCUUCAGUGAAUUUACAUUUUAGUGUACACUGUUUCCUUUAAUCUGGGUGUGGCUUGCAUACUGAAAAACAACACACCGCGCGCAGCAUACAUAGUGCACACUAAAAAUAGUAGCGUGCAUUAGUAACGGCGGUGUGACAUUUUGAACAUACCCUCAGGAGUUUUAAAUCUGUCGAGCUUUUAGAUUCCUUCUUUGAGCGUAGUAUUAUCUGAUUUGCAAAGUCACGCGUGUCUUUGUGCUUGGAGUGUUUGACUGCUUGAGUUUCUAAUUGGUAGUUCUGAAACAUCUUGAUUAAAUGAGUUGUGUGUUUCUUCAUUCUGGUAGUGGAUCAUUUACGAUGAUUGAGUUUUGUCUGGGUUUGAUUAAGCCGUAUCACUGAAAGCUAAUGAGUUGCUUUCAUGUUCUGCUCCUGUUUGGCCAUCUGGAUGAGUCUGAGAUGAAACAGUCACAGGCUAGGAUGGGAAUGGACAUUUGUAACGAGGAGAAGAACAUCUUACAAAGCCUCGACGAAGGACUGGAGGGACCGGUUCACUCUGGCCAUCAUCAUCAAUGAAAACACUCAUCUGUCUGGAAAAGCACAAUUUUCAAACAUUUCACAAUUCACUUUUUUAUUUAUGUGUUUGCAUUGAUACCUAGCAAACGAAAGCUGUAUCACUGGCUUCUGAAGACCUCUGCCGAAACACUUUAUGUAUACCUAAAAUAUUAAUACAUUAAUAAAUACUCAUUUUCACAGUUUAAUCUUAUGUUUAAAGGAAUGAUUCUGUUGAAAUACAAACUAAAUAACAGCUGCUUAUAGGCAAGCUUACAGUGAUUGCUCCAUGAAUAGAUUUCGAUCAACACAUUUUUUCUAAAAAUUCAGCAGCAUGCAGGAAUAUCCAAUUUUGUCUUUCUUGAAAAUGCUGGUUAUUGUCAUUGACUGAUGAUUUUUGUUAUUUUUGGUGAUAAAUGACAGCCUAUAAAAAUUGCUAAUGCUAUAUUAUUACCAAAAACUGAAUUCAAUUUGUUUAGGAAUUCAAAUAGGACAGUAUUUCAUUUAUGAUCUGAUUGAUUGUGUGCCUUAUUAAUCCGUUUUUUUUAAUUGCAGGUUUUGCAGGGUUUUUUCAGAGAUCCAAAACAUCAAUAUAAACUGUACAAACUUAACAAAAUAAAAAAAAAAUGACAAAAAGAUUGAACCCAAGAUUUGGUCACAAUGAGACAUGAUAAAAAAAACUGCAAGCAAUGUUUAAAAUGCUGGCCCUUUUUGACCCGGUAACGUAAAAUUAGCAGGUGCUGGACAUUGGCGACAGGCUUAUCAUUCUCAAUGAGUACACAGAGGAGAAGAGGACCUCAGGGAUUUGGUGGAGGCAGCUGGUUGCCAGAGCAACGGCAGGACUGAUAUUCAGGACAGGAACCUUUUGGGGCGAAUGAAAGUUUCUUCUUUCUUUCUGAUGCCACUGUUGAAGAGAAACAAAUGUAACGAUGAUAAAUGUUUCACCGUGACAGGCACGAUCCAGAACAAAUAGCUGAACGUAAAUGGCUCACAUAAAAGGAUUUCUAGUCAAGAAUAACCAUAGACAAUUGGAUAGUAUAAGCAGUGCGUGUGGGGAAAAAAAUGCAUUUGCUGGCUUGGAAACGUCACUCUCGAAGACCUACCAUUAAAGUUGAACUACAUUCGUUACCUCACCAUGGCAACGGGGCAGAAAAAUAAUGUUUCUGAAUAAAAAUCCUCGCUAGAAAAAAGAUUGCAUCAUCAUCACGAAUCUUAACUGCUCGAUUGCUUGCAUUGUCAAAAAUGUAAACUAUAUUAUCACAAAUAAUGCUCUAUAAACUCGCAAACAAAUCAUCAAUGACUGUCAAAACCAGGGAAAGGGCUUUUUAUGAAUGCUGCAUCCAUAUCCUGGGCAUUAUUCCACAUGCAUCCAUCGAUCUCCCCGUUUUAUGAGGUACAUGCACAAAAACACUUCAUCAAGAAGCCAAGCUCCCAGUGUUUUAUAGCAUCAUGCCUAUAAAUAAAGAUCUGUAAUGGAAUUGGCUUACCAUUUUAUAUUUGGAUUGUUUCAUUUGUAAUCGACUCCAUUGGACUGUACUUCCACAUCCCUGCCGGUUGCCUUAU